rnacentral:rRNA from 1 species
AUUUUGAACCGCAUGGUUCAAAAGUGAAAGACGGUCUUGCUGUCACUUAUAGAUGGAUCCGCGCUGCAUUAGCUAGUUGGUAAGGUAACGGCUUACCAAGGCAACGAUGCAUAGCCGACCUGAGAGGGUGAUCGGCCACACUGGAACUGAGACACGGUCCAGACUCCUACGGGAGGCAGCAGUAGGGAAUCUUCCGCAAUGGGCGAAAGCCUGACGGAGCAACGCCGCGUGAGUGAUGAAGGUCUUCGGAUCGUAAAACUCUGUUAUUAGGGAAGAACAUAUGUGUAAGUAACUGUGCACAUCUUGACGGUACCUAAUCAGAAAGCCACGGCUAACUACGUGCCAGCAGCCGCGGUAAUACGUAGGUGGCAAGCGUUAUCCGGAAUUAUUGGGCGUAAAGCGCGCGUAGGCGGUUUUUUAAGUCUGAUGUGAAAGCCCACGGCUCAACCGUGGAGGGUCAUUGGAAACUGGAAAACUUGAGUGCAGAAGAGGAAAGUGGAAUUCCAUGUGUAGCGGUGAAAUGCGCAGAGAUAUGGAGGAACACCAGUGGCGAAGGCGACUUUCUGGUCUGUAACUGACGCUGAUGUGCGAAAGCGUGGGGAUCAAACAGGAUUAGAUACCCUGGUAGUCCACGCCGUAAACGAUGAGUGCUAAGUGUUAGGGGGUUUCCGCCCCUUAGUGCUGCAGCUAACGCAUUAAGCACUCCGCCUGGGGAGUACGACCGCAAGGUUGAAACUCAAAGGAAUUGACGGGGACCCGCACAAGCGGUGGAGCAUGUGGUUUAAUU